UAGGGAAUCUUCGGCAAUGGACGAAAGUCUGACCGAGCAACGCCGCGUGAGUGAAGAAGGUUUUCGGAUCGUAAAACUCUGUUGUUAGAGAAGAACAAGGACGUUAGUAACUGAACGUCCCCUGACGGUAUCUAACCAGAAAGCCACGGCUAACUACGUGCCAGCAGCCGCGGUAAUACGUAGGUGGCAAGCGUUGUCCGGAUUUAUUGGGCGUAAAGCGAGCGCAGGCGGUUUCUUAAGUCUGAUGUGAAAGCCCCCGGCUCAACCGGGGAGGGUCAUUGGAAACUGGGAGACUUGAGUGCAGGAGAGGAGAGUGGAAUUCCAUGUGUAGCGGUGAAAUGCGUAGAUAUAUGGAGGAACACCAGUGGCGAAGGCGGCUCUCUGGUCUGUAACUGACGCUGAGGCUCGAAAGCGUGGGGAGCAAACAGG
rnacentral:rRNA from 4 species